GCACCUAUAGCUCAAUUGGAUAGAGCACCUGACUACGGAUCAGGAGGUUUGGGG
rnacentral:tRNA from 1 species